rnacentral:rRNA from 1 species
UACGGGGGGGGCAAGCGUUGUUCGGAAUUACUGGGCGUAAAGGGCUCGUAGGCGGCCAACUAAGUCAUACGUGAAAUCCCUCAGCUUAACUGGGGAACUGCGUGUGAUACUGGAUGGCUUGGAUGUGGGAGAGGGAUGCGGAAUUCCAGGUGUAGCGGUGAAAUGCGUAGAUAUCUGGAGGAACACCAGCGGCGAAGGCGGCGCUCUGGGCCGGUACUGACACUGAGGAGCGAAAGCGUGGGUAGCAAACAGG